CAAGUUCAGCAUUACUAGAAAACAGAAUUAGAAAGUACAUCUCAAAUGGCACCGUACGCGGUAAACAUCAGAAAAGAAGCACUCAAAUUGGAGCUUUGAGGUUCAUUAAGAAUCACAUAUACAUUGUUGGGUUCAUUUACAGAGAAUCCAUUCAACCAGGUAAAUACAAUUGGUAGUAUGGAAAGUAAAAGUUCGUAAAACAUAAUGAAGCUUAAACACGAGCAGAACUUUCCCUGUUAUGAGAAGUAACUAGUUCAACUAACGUAUGACUCCAAAAGUAACGCAUAGAAAGUGGAUUUGAAGGAAUUUAACUGAAAUUGCCUAAGACAAUGGUUAAGGGCAAAUGUUAAUACCCUGCUAGAGAUUUGACCUUAGAAAAGAGAGCUCUUUGAGUAUAAAUAUUUAUUUUUAGCAAAUCAAUUUUUGUAUACAAUGUUUGAUGGGUAGAUCACUGAAAGAAUCUGCUAACGAGCAUAAUCUUAUAAAUGACAUUUGCAUAAGCGUACUGAUAGUCGCUAUGUCGAGCUGUUAUUACUGUUGGAAU